rnacentral:rRNA from 1 species
AGAAUCAACGCUGGCGGCGUGCCUAACACAUGCAAGUCGCACGAGAAAGGGGAGCAAUCCCUGAGUAAAGUGGCGCACGGGUGAGUAACACGUGAAUAAUCUACCUCCGAGUGGGGAAUAACUGAGAGAAAUCUUAGCUAAUACCGCAUAACACUUACGAGUCAAAGCAGCAAUGCGCUUGGAGAGGAGUUCGCGGCCGAUUAGUUAGUUGGCGGGGUAAUGGCCCACCAGGACGAUGAUCGGUA